rnacentral:rRNA from 1 species
UUGCCAUCGGGCGAGCCGGGCACUCUGGAGGGACUGCCGGGCGACAAGCCGGAGGAAGGUGGGGAUGACGUCAAGUCAUCAUGGCCCUUAUGUCCAGGGCGACACACGUGCUACAAUGGCCGGCACAGCGGGAAGCGGAGGGGCGACCCUGAGCGGAUCCCUUGAAAGCCGGUCCCAGUUCGGAUUGCAGUCUGCAACUCGACUGCAUGAAGUUGGAAUCGCUAGUAAUCGCGGAUCAGCCAAGCCCGCGGUGAAUACGUUCCCGGGCCUU